rnacentral:misc_RNA from 1 species
GAUGAAGAACGUAGCGAGAUGCGAUACUUGGUGUGAAUUGCAGAAUCCCGUGAACCAUCGAGUCUUUGAACGCAAGUUGCGCCUCAAGCCAUUAGGUUGAGGGCACGUCUGCCUGGGCGUCACAUAUCGUUGCCUGAUGCCAGUUUCCUCGUGAUGGGUGACUGUGCAGGGCGAAUGAUGGCUUCCCGUGAGCAUUGUUGCCUCAUGGUUGGUUGAAAAUUGAGUCCUUGGUAGGGAGCGCCGUGAUAGAUGGUGGUUGAGUGACGAACGAGACCCAAUCAUGUGAGACCCCUACCGAAUUUGGCCUUCAUGACCCACAUGCGUCUUUGGAACGCUCAUGACGAGACCUCAGGUCAGGCGGGGCUACCCGCUGAGUUUAAGCAUAUCAAUAAGCGGAGGA